CAACGAUGAGGAGUGAAAUCGGAGCCCGGUCGACUGUUUGGAGUGACUUUUGCAUCUUCAUUCGAUCACUCGCUUGUACUUGAUGCUGGAAGAAGGCAGCGAUGAAAGUUACAUAUGAUAUCCAUCUGGAAGGGUCAGAAAACCAAGGUGUGUACUAUCAGCAUCGAUCACAGACACUUUUGGAAAAGGUUCCUGCAUGCAUCGUGUUCUUUGACAUUCAGCUGUGGGGGACAAGAGACUUCAGUGAUUCCUGAAUGGGAUCUGGUGAAACCAAUGACCUCCAGUUCUCCACGGAAGGACCGUGUUCAUAGGAAGGGUCUUCCUUCAGCAGCUCCAAAGAGGCAUUGAGAAUUGGCAGGUUACUUUACCUGCCUGCUGCUCCUACUGGGAGAGACGGUGCCUGCUGAGAAAGUCUUCCCUGUUUUGGACGCAAAUCAACCUUCGUAGCUGCAGCCUCUACCCUGGAAGCUUUCCCCAACUUUAUGGAGAGCUGUUGGUACUGAAGCAAGAAAAGCUGGGCAAGGAGUCUGUGCAGAGUUGAGUCUGGACCAGCUCUCUAAGGAUCCCACAAAGGCUUUGGGCCAGCGCUCUACUCUCGAAAACGCACAUAGGUUCCAAAAGAACCUCCCUGAGCCCUGGCUGCUUCUAAUAAGUCAUUAUGGAAGAGAACGGACUGAGUGCACUCAGCCCAGCAGUCCGCAGACUCCCAGGAACACGGCUUAGAAGUUGUAAAGGCCUAGAUUUCAUUGGAGCUGGGGUCUACCUACUUUGCCACUGUGACCUUGGGCAAGUCACUCCGUUCUUGAAGCCUCCGUUUCCUCACUGGUCAAAUAAGAGCCAUGUAGUUACCUUGUAGAACUGUGGUCAGGAUGAGAGUAAAACACUUAAAUUGUUCCUUGCAUUCAUCUUUCAUUGAACAGCUGAAUAGAUUGUAGUCAUCGGACUCAAUAGCCAGAUACAUACUUCUUACCCUGGUUAAAAUCCAAAUCAUAAACACACUUUAUAUUUGUUUGAAAUCCAAGCCUCCAUGCUUUUCCAGGAUAUUUAAGGAAUAUUGGUCAAUUUUCUUGAUAAAAUUCAUUUUUAGUCUAAAAAAAAAAAUCAAAUAAAAUCAUGUUCUGACAUCCAGAACACCGGUGCAAUUAAUUAUACGACAAGUUGUUUUUUUUAAAAGGUUAAAGUUAAGAGUAAAAUAAAUCUAGCUUUACAAUAUAAAAUUGGAAGGGAAAAAUUGCUCUGAUUUUGGGACUUGGCCCCCUGGACAAAAUGAUGAAAGUGAUUUUUGAGAAAAUAAUUAAAUCAGGUUAUUGUUCUUUUACAUUCAAGCAAGAAAUCCUCUAGCAGAUCACGGUUAAUGGAGAUUAGUUAAAAAUAGACUUUAUUAGGUUUGUGUCUGGGUGACAGCAAUGAGUCGGCUGGUCACUCUGAGUGUGCCAACGACCGGAAGAAAAGAACUGGCCUUCUAGAUGUCUUACAGUAAAAGAACCAGGUUUUGGAGGUGGCUUCAAUACAGUCUUAAAAAUCAUCAUGUCCACACCGGAUUUUUUUUUUUCUAUGUAGUUACUGUAAGUUUAGAAGAGAAGUUUCUAGCUAUCUUAUGUCAAACUGAAUAAUACUUGCUUAUAUGUUAGUUGGAAUUUUUUUAAGGGGGAAAGGGUUUAUAUAAGUACUAAAAACUUUCUUCUCAAACUGAAAGAGAAAAUUGAAUCUAUAUGAAGGCAAAGGUACAAUUGGCCUCAUUUGUUCUUUUUCCAAAUGCUUUUCAUAGAUGGUUGACUAAGCAGUUCGUGGACACAUUGAUCCUCUUUCUACCUGUCUUCAAUUUUGUAUAUACUUUGUCUUUAAAAAUAAAGAUAUUAAAAUCAGUCUCACAUUCAGCUACUAGUUUCCAGUUUUUAGAUUUUGGUUGUUCAAUUGCAUAGUAACUAAGAUUAUCUUCUAGCUCUAAAGUUUUUUGAAGUUUCUUUUCUCAGGUUAAAAAAAAAAGGCACCGAAAUUGUUUGAAGAUUCAGCUUAAGUAUGGCAAAACCAAGCCAUAGGUGUAGAGAACUAUAAAUAUUAUCUGGAUGUAUUAGUUGAAUAACAUGGGUUAUUUAAAGAAAAAAGAGGGUGUGUUUUUAAGUACAUCAUUGUUAUAUUUUCUGAAAUAUCUGCCUAUAAUAAAAGGAACUUAAGAAUAUACUAUGAUUUUUACAUAGUCUGAUGGCAAUUGAUCAUGAGAUAUCCCUCAUAUUCCUCAUCUGUUUGCUCUUAUGUGUGUUUCUCCCAAUGAGUAGAAUAUUAAGUGAUAGAUUUAGUGUUCCAUGAAAAGCACUCUAAUAGAAAUCCAACUGCACAUUAGAAAUUAUUACAUAUAAAAAUUGCAAUACUUAGGUAGUUUAACAGCCUAAAAAUGAAAACAUAGGUCAUCAUAACUAGGUACAACCAUCAGGUCUAUGUCACAUUAGGGAAAAAAAAAAUCCCCUUAAGGACAGAUUAAUUAUUUUGCUAAAUUGCGAGAAUUUUCUGUUCUAAUUUGUGAAAACUUAAAAUCUAGAAUUGAUAUCAUGCAUGCUUUCAGAAAUUUAAAUAAUUUAUACACAGAUU